GGAAACGACUGCUCAUCCCGGAUGAGCCUGCGGGUAAAAGAUUAAUUGCCUAGAGAGGAGCUCGCGUCUGAUUAGCUAGUUGGUGAGGUAAAGGCUCACCAAGGCGACGAUCAGUAGCUGUUCUGAGAGGAAGAACAGCCACACUGGGACUGAGACACGGCCCAGACUCCUACGGGAGGCAGCAGUGGGGAAUUUUCCGCAAUGGGCGAAAGCCUGACGGAGCAAUACCGCGUGAGGGAAGAAGGCCUUUGGGUCGUAAACCUCUUUUCUCAGGGAAGAAGUUCUGACGGUACCUGAGGAAAAAGCCUCGGCUAACUCCGUGCCAGCAGCCGCGGUAAUACGGAGGAGGCAAGCGUUAUCCGGAAUUAUUGGGCGUAAAGCGUCCGUAGGUGGCCUUUCAAGUCUGCGGUUAAAAACCAGAGCUCAACUCUGGGGGGGCCGUGGAAACUGAGAAGCUAGAGUACAGUAGGGGUAGAGGGAAUUCCCACUGUACGGCUGAAAUGCGUCCAGAUUGGGAAGAACACCGGUGGCGAAAGCGCUCUCCUGGGCUUGUACUGACCCUGAGGGACGAACCCUACCGGAGCGAAUGGGAUUA
rnacentral:rRNA from 1 species